UACGUAGGGGGCAAGCGUUGUCCGGAAUCAUUGGGCGUAAAGAGCGUGUAGGCGGCCAGGUAAGUCCGCUGUGAAAUCUCGAGGCUCAACUUCGAGCUGUCGGUGGAAACUGUCUGGCUAGAGUCCGGAAGAGGAGAAUGGAAUUCCUGGUGUAGCGGUGAAAUGCGCAGAUAUCAGGAAGAGCACCCGUGGCGAAGGCGGUUCUCUGGGACGGUACUGACGCUGAGGCGCGAAAGCAUGGGGAGCGAACGGG
rnacentral:rRNA from 1 species